CAUUUACAGUCUCCUCUGGCUUGAUACUCCCUCAAAGAUGCUGAUAUCACCUGCCGUCCGCAAGGACUUAAGGAGCAGUGUCUCUGAAGGUGCGUUUGAUUGACAGGCAGCAGUGACCGGAAGUGGAUUUGUCAAGCUCCCAUGUGAGGACAAAGACAAACAGACUCAGAAGUGCAGAUGAGCGGCCUGCAGCCCACAGGUCCGGUGAGACCUCAGCAGAUGUUGGCAGUGCGGGGUCUCCUUCCAAAGCUGCAGGUGGGCACGAGCACUCAGCGUGUAAUGCAUGGUCAGUGUGUAGGCCGCAAAGCUUUCUGUUCACCAGCUUCAGCAGCAAAAUGGUGACUGGAAACUCUAAGUCUCUAAGUCACAGCUGAUGUCUCUGUCUUUUUUGGAGGACUUUGACAACACUUGUCAAUGAGGACUCAGAAAAAAUUUCUGCUGACAUGUGACAGCAUCUCCACCGGACUGGAUUCGAGCUCAGAGAGUUUGGGGGUUGCAGCAGAAAAUCCUGCAUUGCAGACCAUUAACGUUUCUUGCUUUGCUCUGCUUGUAGCUACUAUGGCCAAACAGCAUUAUCCUGGAUGAAAGUCUAAAGUGGCAAAUAAAACAACUCAUUUCCUGGACAGAAUCACCUCUUAUGAAUGAAGACAACACUGUGGCAGUGUUUCUGAUUACGACUUACUUCGUGCUCUCGUUGCGCACAGCUAAAUGGCCAUUAAUAUAAACU